rnacentral:rRNA from 1 species
GGUUAAGCGACUAAGCGUACACGGUGGAUGCCCUGGCAGUCAGAGGCGAUGAAGGGCGUGCUAAUCUGCGAUAAGCGCCGGUAAGGUGAUAUGAACCGUUAUAACCGGCGAUACCCGAAUGGGGAAACCCAGUGUGACUCGUCACACUAUCAUUAACUGAAUCCAUAGGUUAAUGAGGCGAACCGGGGGAACUGAAACAUCUAAGUACCCCGAGGAAAAGAAAUCAACCGAGAUUCCCCCAGUAGCGGCGAGCGAACGGGGAGGAGCCCAGAGCCUGAAUCAGCAUGUGUGUUAGUGGAAGCGUCUGGAAAGGCGCGCGAUACAGGGUGACAGCCCCGUACACAAAAGCGCAUGUGCUGUGAGCUCGAUGAGUAGGGCGGGACACGUGGUAUCCUGUCUGAAUAUGGGGGGACCAUCCUCCAAGGCUAAAUACUCCUGACUGACCGAUAGUGAACCAGUACCGUGAGGGAAAGGCGAAAAGAACCCCGGCGAGGGGAGUGAAAAAGAACCUGAAACCGUGUACGUACAAGCAGUGGGAGCACAGGUUUACCUGUGUGACUGCGUACCUUUUGUAUAAUGGGUCAGCGACUUAUAUUCUGUAGCAAGGUUAACCGUAUAGGGGAGCCGGAGGGAAACCGAGUCUUAACCGGGCGUUAAGUUGCAGGGUAUAGACCCGAAACCCGGUGAUCUAGCCAUGGGCAGGUUGAAGGUUGGGUAACACUAACUGGAGGACCGAACCGACUAAUGUUGAAAAAUUAGCGGAUGACCUGUGGCUGGGGGUGAAAGGCCAAUCAAACCGGGAGAUAGCUGGUUCUCCCCGAAAGCUAUUUAGGUAGCGCCUCGUGAAUUCAUCUCCGGGGGUAGAGCACUGUUUCGGCUAGGGGGCCAUCCCGGCUUACCAACCCGAUGCAAACUGCGAAUACCGGAGAAUGUUAUCACGGGAGACACACGGCGGGUGCUAACGUCCGUCGUGAAGAGGGAAACAACCCAGACCGCCAGCUAAGGUCCCAAAGUCAUGGUUAAGUGGGAAACGAUGUGGGAAGGCCCAGACAGCCAGGAUGUUGGCUUAGAAGCAGCCAUCAUUUAAAGAAAGCGUAAUAGCUCACUGGUCGAGUCGGCCUGCGCGGAAGAUGUAACGGGGCUAAACCAUGCACCGAAGCUGCGGCAGCGAACGUAUCACUUAAAGCGAUUCAGCGGGUUACGAUUGACGGAGCGAAGCGACGUCAAAGCGUAUACAAAGUCGAGUCGGUUUAAGGAUACGUUCGUUGGGUAGGGGAGCGUUCUGUAAGCCUGUGAAGGUGUGUCGUGAGGCAUGCUGGAGGUAUCAGAAGUGCGAAUGCUGACAUAAGUAACGAUAAAGCGGGUGAAAAGCCCGCUCGCCGGAAGACCAAGGGUUCCUGUCCAACGUUAAUCGGGGCAGGGUGAGUCGACCCCUAAGGCGAGGCCGAAAGGCGUAGUCGAUGGGAAACGGGUUAAUAUUCCCGUACUUGGUGUUACUGCGAAGGGGGGACGGAGAAGGCUAUGUUGGCCGGGCGACGGUUGUCCCGGUUUAAGCGUGUAGGUGUGUGUUCCAGGUAAAUCCGGUUCACUUUAACACUGAGGCGUGAUGACGAGGCACUACGGUGCUGAAGCAACAAAUGCCCUGCUUCCAGGAAAAGCCUCUAAGCAUCAGGUAACAUCAAAUCGUACCCCAAACCGACACAGGUGGUCAGGUAGAGAAUACCAAGGCGCUUGAGAGAACUCGGGUGAAGGAACUAGGCAAAAUGGUGCCGUAACUUCGGGAGAAGGCACGCUGACACGUAGGUGAAGUGAUUUACUCAUGGAGCUGAAGUCAGUCGAAGAUACCAGCUGGCUGCAACUGUUUAUUAAAAACACAGCACUGUGCAAACACGAAAGUGGACGUAUACGGUGUGACGCCUGCCCGGUGCCGGAAGGUUAAUUGAUGGGGUCAGCGCAAGCGAAGCUCCUGAUCGAAGCCCCGGUAAACGGCGGCCGUAACUAUAACGGUCCUAAGGUAGCGAAAUUCCUUGUCGGGUAAGUUCCGACCUGCACGAAUGGCGUAAUGAUGGCCAGGCUGUCUCCACCCGAGACUCAGUGAAAUUGAACUCGCUGUGAAGAUGCAGUGUACCCGCGGCAAGACGGAAAGACCCCGUGAACCUUUACUAUAGCUUGACACUGAACAUUGAGCCUUGAUGUGUAGGAUAGGUGGGAGGCUUUGAAGCGUGGACGCCAGUCUGCGUGGAGCCGACCUUGAAAUACCACCCUUUAAUGUUUGAUGUUCUAACGUGAACCCGUGAUCCGGGUUGCGGACAGUGUCUGGUGGGUAGUUUGACUGGGGCGGUCUCCUCCUAAAGAGUAACGGAGGAGCACGAAGGUUGGCUAAUCCUGGUCGGACAUCAGGAGGUUAGUGCAAUGGCAUAAGCCAGCUUGACUGCGAGCGUGACGGCGCGAGCAGGUGCGAAAGCAGGUCAUAGUGAUCCGGUGGUUCUGAAUGGAAGGGCCAUCGCUCAACGGAUAAAAGGUACUCCGGGGAUAACAGGCUGAUACCGCCCAAGAGUUCAUAUCGACGGCGGUGUUUGGCACCUCGAUGUCGGCUCAUCACAUCCUGGGGCUGAAGUAGGUCCCAAGGGUAUGGCUGUUCGCCAUUUAAAGUGGUACGCGAGCUGGGUUUAGAACGUCGUGAGACAGUUCGGUCCCUAUCUGCCGUGGGCGCUGGAGAACUGAGGGGGGCUGCUCCUAGUACGAGAGGACCGGAGUGGACGCAUCACUGGUGUUCGGGUUGUCAUGCCAAUGGCACUGCCCGGUAGCUAAAUGCGGAAGAGAUAAGUGCUGAAAGCAUCUAAGCACGAAACUUGCCCCGAGAUGAGUUCUCCCUGAGACUUAAAGUCUCCUGAAGGAACGUUGAAGACGACGACGUUGAUAGGCCGGGUGUGUAAGCGCAGCGAUGCGUUGAGCUAACCGGUACUAAUGAACCGUGAGGCUUAACCUU